AUGCCCAACCCAGCCCCAAACCCCAACCCCAGCCCCAGCCAGGAGCGCAGCCACGAGAGCGGGGUCAAUACGAGAAGCAGCAGCAGCAGCACCAGCAGCAGCAGCAUAACUAUAACCACUCUUUUCUCAUCCCCAUCUCCCCUGGUUCCCGCAGGGCUCCGGGCGGCCGUGACCCUGCUGGAGUCCGGGGGGGACCUCCAGCCCCCCGGCGGGUCCCUGACGUUGCUCUGCCGAGGAUCCGGGUUCGAUUUCGGGAAUUACGAAAUGGAAUGGAUCCGCCAGAGACCCGGGCAGGGGAUGGAAUAUGUCGCGAGUAUCGGCAGUGGUGGCACCACCAGAUACGCGACAUCGGUGCGGGGCCGGUUCAGGAUCUCGAGGGACAACGGGCAGAGCUCGGUGACGCUGGCCAUGAGCAGCCUCAGGGACGAGGAUUCCGCCGUUUAUUUCUGCGCCAAAACUGCUUCCAGUUGUUGUGGCAUUGCUGGUGCUAGUUAUGGUGAAGGAUAA